rnacentral:lncRNA from 1 species
GAACUUAAGUAUUACACGUAAAUAAAAUAAAAAAAAAUUAGUAUAAUUUUGUCUAAAAUAUUAAUAUUAAUAUAAAACAAUUCACAUUUCCAGUAGCGUAUUUGAAAAUGCAGUAGUUAUUCUUGACCAACUUUUAUUUAUGUUUCGGUUGAACUUUAAAUUAUUCAUCCUUCGUUCUCCUGCAACCUGCAAUGUUGCUUUGGCAUUGUAUGUCCACCCACUCAACUCUUCAAGUUAUGGUGACAUUGUGGUUGAUGAAAGCCCAAACACAAGUCUACUUUGAUGAAAUUAAUGUUUGGAUAAACUUACAGACUUUUACGACAACAAUUUUGCUCCAAUUUCAGCAUCCAUUCUCAACGCUAUAGACAAUCCAAAAUCAUUAAAAGAAAUUGAGAUAAUCAAUAGGAGAUGAAUAAAAAGAUUAUAGAAAUAAAAAUAAUAAGGUGAAAAGAUGUUUCUUACAUGGAAGAAUACUAAGGAUACUUGGCUUGUAUAGGGAAGAGUGACUAAGUUGUGAGAGGUGACAAAUCAUAAGAUCAAAUUUUUCAGAUGUAUCAAACUAUUAAAUGAAAAAGGCCAUGUUUGCUGUUGGUAACUUUAUCUUUCUAUGGUUAUACCUAAUGUAGCUGGAAAGACAACAACAAGG